AGCGAGUCUUAACUGGGCGCUCAGUCUCUGGAUAUAGACCCGAAACCGGGUGAUCUAGCCAUGGGCAGGUUGAAGGUUGAGUAACAUCAACUGGAGGACCGAACCGACUAAUGUUGAAAAAUUAGCGGAUGACUUGUGGCUAGGGGUGAAAGGCCAAUCAAACUCGGAGAUAGCUGGUUCUCCCCGAAAGCUAUUUAGGUAGCGCCUCGGACGAAUACUACUGGGGGUAGAGCACUGUUAAGGCUAGGGGGUCAUCCCGACUUACCAACCCUUUGCAAACUCCGAAUAC
rnacentral:rRNA from 1 species